GGUUGUGAGGCUGAUCUGUGAUGUUUGUCAUCCCAUUGCUCGUGAGGGUUGAUUUGAUGGGCCUGGCUGGCUGGAGUUCGCUUUCUUCCCCACAUUUCAGGGAGCAUCCCUCCCAAAUUGGGUCAUCUCUGAAAGUAUGACACUUUCACUGAGAGGCAGCUGUCCUUUGGUCAAAUGUAAAGGUAGCCACGCUUUUCUUUUUAAGACCUCAGUUCAGUUCAGUUCACUUGCUCAGUUGUGUCUGACU
rnacentral:sRNA from 1 species